rnacentral:rRNA from 1 species
AUUGAACGCUGGCGGCAGGCCUAACACAUUCAAGUCUAGCGGAUCUUCUUACGGGUGAGUAAUUCCUAUUAAUCUUCCUUGUAGUGGGGGAUAACGUCCGGAAACGGGCGCUAAUACCGCAUACUAUCAGAUGAGCCUAGGUCGGAUUAGCUAGUUGGUGGGGUAACGGCCUACCAAGGCGACGAUCCGUAACUGGUCUGAGAGGAUGAUCAGUCACACUGGAACUGAGAGACGGUCCAGACUCCGACGGGAGGCAUCAGUGGGGAAUAUUGGACAAUGGUCGAAAGCCUGAUCCAGCCAUGCCGCGUGUGUGAAGAAGGUCUUCGGAUUGUAAAGCACUUUAAGUUGGGAGGCGUUACCAACAGAAUAAGCACCGGCUAACUUCGUGCCAGCAGCCGCGGUAAUAC